AUUAGUCUUUUAAUUGGAGACUGGUAUGAAUGGCUAAACGAGAAAUUAACUUUUUUUGUUAUAAAAAUCUAAUUUAAUUUUUUAGUGAAAAAGCUAAAAUUUUUCAGAAAGACGAGAAGACCCUAUAGAGUUUUAUAUAAAUUUUGUAUUUAUUUUUAAUAGAUUUUUAAAAAAUAAGUAUAAAUUAAAUAUUUUGUUGGGGCGACAUUAAGAUAAAAAAAACUCUUUUUUUAAAAAAAUUUUUAUAAAAAUAUUUUUUGAUCCUUUAAAAAAGAUCAAAAGAAAAAAUUACCUUAGGGAUAACAGCGUAAUCUUUUUUUAGAGUUCUAAUCGACAAAAAGGUUUGCGACCUCGAUGUUGGACUAAAAUUUAGGCAGGGUGCAGCAGUUCUGCUUUUAGGUCUGUUCGACCUAUAAUAUUUUACACGAUCUGAGUUCAGACCGGCGUAAG
rnacentral:rRNA from 1 species